GCCCUCCCAUCCAGGCAGCCACAAAACAUCGGGAGGAGUUCCCUGUGCUAUACAGUAGGUCUACAUGUGGACAUACACCAUUUUAAAUAUAGCCGAGUAUACAUGCCGAUCCCAAAUUUCCUAACUAUCCCUUCCCCCGGCGUGUUCGUGUCUGUUCAGGUUUUUUAGGCCAAGGCUGAGGCCCAGCUGAGAAGAGGGAUCAGAGGAGUCCGCCUCGAGUCAGUCAAGGAGAGAAUCUUUGUCUCUGUGAAGCCCAAGGUCUGUGGUUUGUGCUUUACUACCUCCUCUGGCAACACUAUUUCCCUACCUAAAGUCAGGCCUCCUGUCCCCCUCAGUGGCCUUCUAGUGGGGUUAGAACUUCACGUGUCUAAUCGCCUUAAAGAGCAUCUGGGUUCUGGACUUUUCCCACCUCGCUUCCCUCUCCAGCCAUGGCCCUGCUGCUCUGUCUACGAAUGUGGCUUUUCUUCCUCUCCCUUUACCCCACCGGGCAAAUUCUGUGGAACUCAUAGCAACCUGAACAGUGAACUUUGUUCAUCAACGGAUUCAAAUACAUCAAAUGGGCUGAAACAGGCAAUAUUCAUGGGGACUCAAUAUUAUAUUGUUAAUUACCACUAGGCCGUAUAACAUAAUGGAUCCGAAUAGCUAACACUCUUUGAGGACUUACCAUGGGUUGUAUACCUGAGUAAGUAUGUUCCUAGAUUGACUUAUUUAAUCUUUGCAACAAUUCUGAGGUAAGUAAAAUUAAUUUUCAGAGGUUUAUUCUUAAGAAAGAAUAAAAAUUUGCCCAAGUUGCUUCUGAGAUAAGUC
rnacentral:lncRNA from 1 species